rnacentral:rRNA from 1 species
UAAUACCGGAUAGAUCAAAGAUACUGGAAUGUUCUCUGGUCCAAAACUCCGGUGCCCAAGGAUGGGUCUGCGGCCUAUCAGGUAGUAGUGGGUGUAACGUACCUACUAGCCAGCGACGGGUAAGGGUUGUGAGAGCAAGAUCCCUGAGAUGGAUUCUGAGACAUGAAUCCAGGCCCUACGGGGCGCAGCAGGCGCGAAAUCUUUACACUGCGGGAAACCGCGAUAAGGGGACCCCGAGUGCCAGCGCCUAGUGCUGGCUGUCCAGCUGUCCAAAUAACAGUUGUUAGCAAGGGCCGGGCAAGACCGGUGCCAGCCGCCGCGGUAACACCGGCGGCCCGAGUGGUAGCCGCUAUUAUUGGGUUUAAAGGGCCCGUAGCCGGCCUAUUAAGUCUCUUGGGAAAUCUGGCGGCUCAAUCGUCAGGCGUUC